UUAAGCGACUAAGCGUACACGGUGGAUGCCCUGGCAGUCAGAGGCGAUGAAGGACGUGCUAAUCUGCGAUAAGCGUCGGUAAGGUGAUAUGAACCGUUAUAACCGGCGAUUUCCGAAUGGGGAAACCCAGUGUGUUUCGACACACUAUCAUUAACUGAAUCCAUAGGUUAAUGAGGCGAACCGGGGGAACUGAAACAUCUAAGUACCCCGAGGAAAAGAAAUCAACCGAGAUUCCCCCAGUAGCGGCGAGCGAACGGGGAGGAGCCCAGAGCCUGAAUCAGUGUGUGUGUUAGUGGAAGCGUCUGGAAAGGCGCGCGAUACAGGGUGACAGCCCCGUACACAAAAAUGCACAUACUGUGAGCUCGAUGAGUAGGGCGGGACACGUGGUAUCCUGUCUGAAUAUGGGGGGACCAUCCUCCAAGGCUAAAUACUCCUGACUGACCGAUAGUGAACCAGUACCGUGAGGGAAAGGCGAAAAGAACCCCGGCGAGGGGAGUGAAAAAGAACCUGAAACCGUGUACGUACAAGCAGUGGGAGCCUCUUAAUGGGGUGACUGCGUACCUUUUGUAUAAUGGGUCAGCGACUUAUAUUCUGUAGCAAGGUUAACCGAAUAGGGGAGCCGAAGGGAAACCGAGUCUUAACUGGGCGUUAAGUUGCAGGGUAUAGACCCGAAACCCGGUGAUCUAGCCAUGGGCAGGUUGAAGGUUGGGUAACACUAACUGGAGGACCGAACCGACUAAUGUUGAAAAAUUAGCGGAUGACUUGUGGCUGGGGGUGAAAGGCCAAUCAAACCGGGAGAUAGCUGGUUCUCCCCGAAAGCUAUUUAGGUAGCGCCUCGUGAAUUCAUCUCCGGGGGUAGAGCACUGUUUCGGCAAGGGGGUCAUCCCGACUUACCAACCCGAUGCAAACUGCGAAUACCGGAGAAUGUUAUCACGGGAGACACACGGCGGGUGCUAACGUCCGUCGUGAAGAGGGAAACAACCCAGACCGCCAGCUAAGGUCCCAAAGUCAUGGUUAAGUGGGAAACGAUGUGGGAAGGCCCAGACAGCCAGGAUGUUGGCUUAGAAGCAGCCAUCAUUUAAAGAAAGCGUAAUAGCUCACUGGUCGAGUCGGCCUGCGCGGAAGAUGUAACGGGGCUAAACCAUGCACCGAAGCUGCGGCAGCGACGCUUAUGCGUUGUUGGGUAGGGGAGCGUUCUGUAAGCCUGUGAAGGUGUGCUGUGAGGUAUGCUGGAGGUAUCAGAAGUGCGAAUGCUGACAUAAGUAACGAUAAAGCGGGUGAAAAGCCCGCUCGCCGGAAGACCAAGGGUUCCUGUCCAACGUUAAUCGGGGCAGGGUGAGUCGACCCCUAAGGCGAGGCCGAAAGGCGUAGUCGAUGGGAAACAGGUUAAUAUUCCUGUACUUGGUGUUACUGCGAAGGGGGGACGGAGAAGGCUAUGUUGGCCGGGCGACGGUUGUCCCGGUUUAAGCGUGUAGGCUGGUUUUCCAGGCAAAUCCGGAAAAUCAAGGCUGAGGCGUGAUGACGAGGCACUACGGUGCUGAAGCAACAAAUGCCCUGCUUCCAGGAAAAGCCUCUAAGCAUCAGGUAACAUCAAAUCGUACCCCAAACCGACACAGGUGGUCAGGUAGAGAAUACCAAGGCGCUUGAGAGAACUCGGGUGAAGGAACUAGGCAAAAUGGUGCCGUAACUUCGGGAGAAGGCACGCUGAUAUGUAGGUGAAGCGACUUGCUCGUGGAGCUGAAAUCAGUCGAAGAUACCAGCUGGCUGCAACUGUUUAUUAAAAACACAGCACUGUGCAAACACGAAAGUGGACGUAUACGGUGUGACGCCUGCCCGGUGCCGGAAGGUUAAUUGAUGGGGUUAGCGGUAACGCGAAGCUCUUGAUCGAAGCCCCGGUAAACGGCGGCCGUAACUAUAACGGUCCUAAGGUAGCGAAAUUCCUUGUCGGGUAAGUUCCGACCUGCACGAAUGGCGUAAUGAUGGCCAGGCUGUCUCCACCCGAGACUCAGUGAAAUUGAACUCGCUGUGAAGAUGCAGUGUACCCGCGGCAAGACGGAAAGACCCCGUGAACCUUUACUAUAGCUUGACACUGAACAUUGAGCCUUGAUGUGUAGGAUAGGUGGGAGGCUUUGAAGUGUGGACGCCAGUCUGCAUGGAGCCGACCUUGAAAUACCACCCUUUAAUGUUUGAUGUUCUAACGUUGGCCCCUGAUCGGGGUUGCGGACAGUGUCUGGUGGGUAGUUUGACUGGGGCGGUCUCCUCCUAAAGAGUAACGGAGGAGCACGAAGGUUGGCUAAUCCUGGUCGGACAUCAGGAGGUUAGUGCAAUGGCAUAAGCCAGCUUGACUGCGAGCGUGACGGCGCGAGCAGGUGCGAAAGCAGGUCAUAGUGAUCCGGUGGUUCUGAAUGGAAGGGCCAUCGCUCAACGGAUAAAAGGUACUCCGGGGAUAACAGGCUGAUACCGCCCAAGAGUUCAUAUCGACGGCGGUGUUUGGCACCUCGAUGUCGGCUCAUCACAUCCUGGGGCUGAAGUAGGUCCCAAGGGUAUGGCUGUUCGCCAUUUAAAGUGGUACGCGAGCUGGGUUUAGAACGUCGUGAGACAGUUCGGUCCCUAUCUGCCGUGGGCGCUGGAGAACUGAGGGGGGCUGCUCCUAGUACGAGAGGACCGGAGUGGACGCAUCACUGGUGUUCGGGUUGUCAUGCCAAUGGCACUGCCCGGUAGCUAAAUGCGGAAGAGAUAAGUGCUGAAAGCAUCUAAGCACGAAACUUGCCCCGAGAUGAGUUCUCCCUGACUCCUUGAGAGUCCUGAAGGAACGUUGAAGACGACGACGUUGAUAGGCCGGGUGUGUAAGCGCAGCGAUGCGUUGAGCUAACCGGUACUAAUGAACCGUGAGGCUUAACCUU
rnacentral:rRNA from 1 species